ensembl:lncRNA
GUAAUACGGGCCGGGCUGCUCAAAGCCCCAACCCCGUUGUGGAGCAAAGUAAGGACUGAGGCAAACGGAGCCGCAGGAUGGAGCUGCGCACGGACUGCGUGUGCAAAGCCGGUGGAGAAUUCCCUCCCGAGGGCAGGGAAGGGAUACGACAUUGCGUCGCGGCAGCUCACUAAGCUCCCCAGUGGACUCACACACCCAAUCUGUGGCACAGCAAACCGUGCCGUGCCUCGGCUGCUGAGAGGUGCAAACUUGGAGGCAAUGGGGCAGCGCACGCACCUGACUUUUAGACUAACAGAGCAAGGCUCCCUAAAGGAACAGCAUCAGUCAGAGAAAACGGACCUAAACUCGCCACUCGGUCCUCCUCUGGGGCAGUGUUGCCUUUCCACACCUUCACCGGAGGACGAGGACCUGCAGCCUCUCAUCUCUUUGCUCCUUCCUCAUUCUGAGAUGCAGGAGAGGGAAAAGAACAGCUUUGCAGAGCAGGUGCUGCGAUACCAAUAUUUUCCUCGCAGGUGGCAUGAAAACCCUCUGUGCACUUACCCCCUUCCUAUGGGCUCUUCAAUAAUUUGUGGAAGCAGAAAACCAGCGUCGUGUGAUGGAUCAGAAAUAGCAGCUAAUGCACUUGUGUGCAGCUCCCACUAGUCCUCAUCGGAAAUACCAUUUUCUUCUGACAAGUGGGACAGACAGGAUUGUAGCAGGAGAACAUUGUCAGACAGGCUAAGUGCUACAGGCUACAUGUCUGUCUGGUGACAAAUUUUGAGAUUGGAACUAAAUUUGGGAUUAACAGAGACUUUAAUUUCUUUCUUGCUAG